rnacentral:misc_RNA from 1 species
GAUGAAGAACGUAGCGAAAUGCGAUAAGUAAUGUGAAUUGCAGAAUUCAGUGAAUCAUCGAAUCUUUGAACGCACCUUGCGCUCCUUGGUAUUCCGAGGAGCAUGCCUGUUUGAGUGUCAUUAAAUUCUCAACCUCACCAACUUUGGUUGUGUGAAGGCUUGGAUGUGGGGGUUGCAGGUCCACUUUGGUGGUCUGCUCCUCUAAAAUGUAUUAGUGGGUUAGUCCCCUUAUCUAUUGGUGUGAUAAUUAUCUACGCCGUGGAUUGGUAUGGCUAUAUAGACUUGCUUCUAACCGUCCUCACGGACAACUUUGACAUUUUUGACCUCAAAUCAGGUAAGACUACCCGCUGAACUUAAGCAUAUCAAUAAGCGGAGGA